UGAGUGGUUUGGGCAAAAAUUAUCAUCACCUGUUUCUUGUUCUAGUUAUUGGCGUGGAGAGAGUAUAAAACGCCAGGAGAAACGGAUGCAAGCGAGAGAGAGACGGACUGCUGACCCGAACCGGAGACGGAAAACCGGAAGGAGUAAACCGGAAGUUUGACAGAGCGUGUCAGAAUAAGAGUCACCGUUUGGGUGUUUGUGAUUUUCUUUGUUCUUUGUUUAGUUUUGGUUAAAUAAAUACGUCAGCAGUCCAGCCGA